rnacentral:rRNA from 1 species
UACGUAGGUGGCAAGCGUUGUCCGGAUUUAUUGGGUUUAAAGGGUGCGUAGGCGGUCUUUUAAGUCAGUGCUGAAAUACUCCAGCUUAACUGGAGGGGUGGCAUUGAUACUGGAAGACUUGAGUGCAGUCGAAGUAGGCGGAAUUGACGGUGUAGCGGUGAAAUGCUUAGAUAUCGUCAAGAACACCGAUAGUGAAGACAGCUUACUAGGCUGCAACUGACGCUGAGGCACGAAAGUGUGGGGAUCAAACAGG